CCUACGGGUGGCAGCAGUGGGGAAUAUUGCACAAUGGGGGAAACCCUGAUGCAGCGACGCCGCGUGAGUGAAGAAGUAUUUCGGUACGUAAAGCUCUAUUAGCAGGGAAGAAAAUGACGGUACCUGACUCAGAAGCCCCGGCUAACUACGUGCCAGCAGCCGCGGUAAUACGUCGGGGGCAAGCGUUAUCCGGAUUUACUGGGUGGAAAGGGAGCGUAGACGGCAGCGCAAGUCUGGAGUGAAAUCCCAUGGCUUAACCAUGGAACUGCUUUGGAAACUGUGCAGCUAGAGUGCAGGAGAGGUAAGCGGAAUUCCUAGUGUAGCGGUGAAAUGCGUAGAUAUUAGGAGGAACACCAGUGGCGAAGGCAGCUUACUAAGCCAUAACUGACACUGAAGCACGAAAGCGUGGGGAUCAAACAGGAUUAGAUACCCGAGUAGUC
rnacentral:rRNA from 1 species